rnacentral:rRNA from 1 species
CCUACGGGUGGCAGCAGUGGGGAAUAUUGCACAAUGGGGGAAACUCUGAUGCAGCGACGCCGCGUGAGUGAAGAAGUAAUUCGUUAUGUAAAGCUCUAUCAGCAGGGAAGAAAAUGACGGUACCUGUGUAAGAAGCCCCGGCUAACUACGUGCCAGCAGCCGAGGUAAUACGUAGGGGGCAAGCGUUAUCCGGAUUUACUGGGUGUAAAGGGAGCGUAGACGGGAUUGCAAGUCUGGAGUGAAAGGCGGGGGCUCAACCCCCGGACUGCUCUGGAAACUGUACGGCUGGAGUGCAGGAGAGGUAAGUGGAAUUCCUGGUGUAGCGGUGAAAUGCGUAGAUAUUAGGAAGAACACCAGUGGCGAAGGCAGCUUACUGGACUGUAACUGACGUUGAGGCUCGAAAGCGUGGGGAGCAAACAGGAUUAGAUACCCUAGUAGUC